UGCACCACCCUGAACGUGCCCGAUCUCAUCUGAUCUCGGAAGCUUAGCAGGGUCGGGCCUGGUUAGUACUUGGAUGGGAGUCCAUUUCUUUUUAUUGGAGCAU
ensembl:rRNA 5S_rRNA 5S ribosomal RNA